CCUACGGGGGGCUGCAGUGGGGAAUAUUGCGCAAUGGGCGAAAGCCUGACGCAGCGACGCCGCGUGAGGGAUGAAGGUCUUCGGAUCGUAAACCUCUGUCAGCAGGGAAGCACGGUCACUGUGCUAAUCAGCAGUGAAUUGACGGUACCUGCAAAGGAAGCACCGGCUAACUCCGUGCCAGCAGCCGCGGUAAUACGGGGGGUGGGUGCGUUAAUCGGUAUUUCUGGGCGUAACGCGGUCGUAGGCGGGAUGUUAAGUCAAGGGGUAAAUCCCCGCGCUCAACGUGGGAACUGCCUUUGAAACUGGCAAACUGGAGUGUGUGAGAGGAUAGUGGAAUGCCAGGUGUAGGAGUGAAAUCCGUAGAUAUCUGGAGGAACAUCAGUGGCGAAGGCGACUAUCUGGCACAUAACUGACGCUGAGGAGCGAAAGCGUGGGUAGCAAACAGGAUUAGAUACCCUAGUAGUC
rnacentral:rRNA from 1 species